rnacentral:lncRNA from 1 species
GAAAAAAAGAAAAAAUUGAAGUCUUAGAGAUCCAUUUUCUUCUCUCCAGUAGGUGGAGCUGUGCCCUCUGAGCCGAGCUUCUGCCCUCUAUGUGCCGACAGCAAUCCCUGUAAGGCGGCUCCUGGGAGUCUCUCAAUCCUGUUAGUCUAGAGCCAUUUCACUUCUCCAGCCCCUCCCCCUCUCCUCCUGCCAGCUAGCCAGCCAGGUCCUGUUCACUGGAGGCAGUUCCCCAAGGAUCUGGUUACACUUGUAGCCCCACCGCAUGUCCUAUUUCCCAAAUGACUGAGCAGUCUCUCUGUCAUUCAUCUAAGCCCCAGUGCUGUGGUGCAGUGAUCUGGGAACCAACAGUUUAAUUUUUCCGGACCCCUUCGGUGGGCAUACCCCUGGAAACUGGCAGCUAAGAUCUUGGGUGUCGCCACUGGUGGUAAGGGGAGUUGGGGAUCUGGAAUCCUCUCUGCUUCCCUACAGACACACCCCCGGAGAGAUCCCCGGGGUUUCCUGGCUGCUUGUAUCUGGAGGGGGUCGGAGUCACACACCUGCUAAAGUGGAUUCCGCUGGGAAGGAAUUCCAUCGGCCAAACUCCGGUGAUGUCACCUCUCUGCUAUGGCAGGCCCCUGGCUCCUUGCCGGAGUGUCCGAAGGGUGGGAUGGGACUGGUCUGUCUCUGGUUGGUUUCAGUUCCCAGUUCACUAUUUCAUGAAGGCUUGGCUAGAGACUGCUUCCUAGAGUCCCUGUGCCGCUCCUGCUGAGCUGCGCCUCGGAGGCUAGCCGCACAGUCGCGGGGGCCGUGGGCGGGCGCCAGAUGGUCGCCGAGUCGCGUGGGCAGCGGCUGGCGGCUCUGGACCUCUGUGCUGCGAGGCAGAUAUUCACUCAUCUGGGGCAAACUGUCACCUCCAAAAAUCCUACUAAUUCCGGCCGGUCUCUCUUCAGUGGAAUUUUGCUAGGAGUUUCUCAGCAGGUAGAAUCUAAGCAUAUCAAUGCGUCUCUCUGACCCCGUUAUUGAGGAGGUACUGAAAGUGCUGCCUCCCCGCCCACCGCCAUGUUGGAUCCAUCUG